UACGUAGGGGCCUAGCGUUGUCCGGAAUUAUUGGGCGUAAAGAGCUCGUAGGCGGUGUGUCGCGUCGGUCGUGAAAACUUGGGGCUUAACCCUGAGCUUGCGGUCGAUACGGGCAUCACUUGAGUUCGGCAGGGGAGACUGGAACUCCUGGUGUAGCGGUGAAAUGCGCAGAUAUCAGGAGGAACACCGGUGGCGAAGGCGGGUCUCUGGGCCGAUACUGACGCUGAGGAGCGAAAGCGUGGGGAGCGAACAGG
rnacentral:rRNA from 1 species